CAAUGACACAUUGACAUAGUUAAUAUUGGUCUAUAUAUCACAAUAUAUAUGUCAUUUUAUGGGAUCAAUUUACUGCGGCUGAAGAUCUUACAACAUAAAUACAAUGAACAUAAAAAUUGAGGAAAGCAAUGUCAGUGAAAAACUGAAUAAGGCGAAUUCCAUAGAAAAAUUCUACGCCAAUACUGAAAUCUUGGUGAGACGGGUUUCAUAGGCAAAAGAAUUUGGAGAAACUGAGGCGUGUGUGUUCAAGCAUCGUCGCCAUCUUUAUCCUUAUUCGAAGAAAAAC